rnacentral:rRNA from 1 species
UACGGAGGGUGCAAGCGUUAUCCGGAUUUACUGGGUUUAAAGGGUGCGUAGGUGGGUAGGUAAGUCAGUGGUGAAAUCUUCGAGCUUAACUCGGAAACUGCCAUUGAUACUAUUUAUCUUGAAUACUUUGGAGGUAAGCGGAAUAUGUCAUGUAGCGGUGAAAUGCUUAGAUAUGACAUAGAACACCAAUUGCGAAGGCAGCUUACUACACAGUUAUUGACACUGAGGCACGAAAGCGUGGGGGAUCAAACAGG